GCCAACUUACCUGAAGAAGAAGGAAUACUCACCAAUGUACCUGAUAAACAUCCACCUGAUGCUGAAGUGCCUGUGGAAAUUGGGACCCCUGAGACGGUCCAAUCUGAGUCAUCAGAGGGCGAUGUAGGACCUAGGCGUUCAAGUCGUCAUCGCCAGCCGCCUCAACGUCUCCAGUAUUCAGCAUUAGGGAACCCGCUUAUAUCAGUCGUUCAAACCCUUUUUCAUAGUUUAUCUAACGUUUAUGCUGAGGCGCUUAGUCAUGUACCUGCAGCAGACUCUAUACUCUGAAAGUAAAGUCUGUAGUUCCCAUGCAACGGGGACGAGCAUGAUUUAAAGGGGGGAGGGUGUAACCCGGGUGUUUUUCCGCUCCCCUUGGCCUUGGUGCACUGUCUCUUUAAAUGGGGCGCCACACCACGGCUCGCGAGUGUUGUGGGUCUCGGGAGUGUCUGAGCUGCUGCAGAUGCCUCCUGCUGUAUGACGAUGUGCUGAGAAUGACUAUUAAGCGGAACUGGCCAGGUUCCAGUAUUGGAUGGCGAGCUAGAAGGCCCCGAGCCUGGACAUAUUGAGUGCGCCCGUCCGCCGGUGCGGUAGGAGGCGCUGCAGCCACUCCCCACACACACCCACUUGCACACACGCACACUAACAACCUCCGCUGGUGGAUUGUUUGAACUUUGCGAGUUUUGCACAGACUGAAACCCAGGUUCACCAAACUUGACGAUCUGAACUCUUUGUGCGCCUAAGUGGAUCUAUGAACUCUUCUUUCACAGCAACGUGGAUUUAUGAACAAUACUGCUUGCGCCCCUGACCUAAACAACUCUAUAAAUACAUUGGACCCAUUUUAUUUUUGUUUUACAUCACACACCUUGUAAAUUAUUGUACAUAAUGUCUUUGUCGAUGGCACUUCUGUAAAUAAUCACAGCUGAGCUCAACUUGCACAUCUGAGUCUGGUUUUCAUUUAACACACCAUCUUCCUCCGAGCGAACCUACAUCUUCUGAUACU